GUGAGUCAUCGAAUCUUUGAACGCACCUUGCGCCCUUUGGUAUUCCGAAGGGCAUGCCUGUUUGAGUGUCAUUAAAUUCUCCACUUCAAAAAGCUUUGCCUUCUUUGAAGCUUGGGACUAUGGGGGUCUGCUGAUGUCAUUGUCAGCUCUCCUUAAAUGCAUUAGCAGAACUUUCGAGGACUAGCUUUGGUUUGAUAAUCCUAUCUAUGCCGUCGCUGUGUCCUUUGCGUUCAGCUUCUAAUGGUCUUCGGACUGUCUCUUUCAGAGGCAUACACUUUUAAGCUUGACCUCAAAUCAGGUAGGACUACCCGCUGAACUUAAGCAUAUCAAUAAGCGGAGGA
rnacentral:misc_RNA from 1 species